rnacentral:rRNA from 1 species
GACGGACGCUGGCGGCGUGCUUAACACAUGCAAGUCGAACGGAAAGGCCUGCUUUCCCUUGUGGAUUGCGGGUACUCGAGUGGCGAACGGGUGAGUAACACGUGAGUGAUCUGCCCCCAACUUGGGUAUAAGCCUGGGAAACUGGGUCUAAUUCCCGAUAGGACUGCAGGGUGGUGCCUGUGGUGGAAAACGAUUUUCUAGUGGUUGGGGAUGAGCUCGCGGCCUAUCAGCUUGUUGGUGGGGUAAUGGCCUACCAAGGCGGCGACGGGUAGCCGGCCUGAGAGGGUGGACGGCCACAUUGGGACUGAGAUACGGCCCAGACUCCUACGGGAGGCAGCAGUGGGGAAUAUUGCACAAUGGGCGGAAGCCUGAUGCAGCGACGCCGCGUGGGGGAUGACGGCCUUCGGGUGGUAAACUCCUUUCGACCGCGAGGAAGCCACCUGGUUGGAAGGGUGGUGACGGUAGUGGUAGAAGAAGCACCGGCUAACUACGUG